UUGCAAUACGUCUAAAAAAUGUUUACUGGCAACCCUACCUGCACUUACAGAUGGAAGAAAUCCUUAAGUAGAACUAACCAGAAACAGUUAAAAUGAAUGCAGAAACUGCUUAAAGUUGAAUGCUGUUGUUCUUUCAAUACUUCACUGGGCAUGUCUGGUUAUCCAUAUUAAUUACCCUUAUAAUUUAUUGUUUUAUUUACAUUAUUAUGUACAUGAUUACGUAAUAUAUACAGUAUAUUUAUUAAUUAA